GCAGGAGGUGUUAGAUUACUCAGCUGUUCUAGUGGUCUGAGGCAGGUGUUAGAUUACUCAGCUGUUCUAGUGGUCUGAGGCAGGUGGUAGAUUACUCAGCUGUUCUAGUGGUCUGAGGCAGGUGGUAGAUUACUCAGCUGUUCUAGUGGUCUGAGGCAGGUGGUAGAUUACUCAGCUGUUCUAGUGGUCUGAGGCAGGUGGUAGAUUACUCAGCUGUUCUAGUGGUCUGAGGCAGGUGUUAGAUUACUCAGCUGUUCUAGUGGUCUGAGGCAGGUGGUAGAUUACUCAGCUGUUCUAGUGGUCUGAGGCAGGUGGUAGAUUACUCAGCUGUUCUAGUGGUCUGAGGCAGGUGGUAGAUUACUCAGCUGUUCUAGUGGUCUGAGGCAGGUGGUAGAUUACUCAGCUGUUCUAGUGGUCUGAGGCAGGUGGUAGAUUACUCAGCUGUUCUAGUGGUCUGAGGCAGGUGGUAGAUUACUCAGCUGUUCUAGUGGUCUGAGGCAGGUGGUAGAUUACUCAGCUGUUCUAGUGGUCUGAGGCAGGUGGUAGAUUACUCAGCUGUUCUAGUGGUCUGAGGCAGGUGGUAGAUUACUCAGCUGUUCUAGUGGUCUGAGGCAGGUGGUAGAUUACUCAGCUGUUCUAGUGGUCUGAGGCAGGUGGUAGAUUACUCAGCUGUUCUAGUGGUCUGAGGCAGGUGGUAGAUUACUCAGCUGUUCUAGUGGUCUGAGGCAGGUGUUAGAUUACUCAGCUGUUCUAGUGGUCUGAGGCAGGUGGUAGAUUACUCAGCUGUUCUAGUGGUCUGAGGCAGGUGGUAGAUUACUCAGCUGUUCUAGUGGUCUGAGGCAGGUGGUAGAUUACUCAGCUGUUCUAGUGGUCUGAGGCAGGUGGUAGAUUACUCAACUGUUCUAGGGGUCUGAGGCAGGUGUUAGAUUACUCAGCUGUUCUAGUGGUCUGAGGCAGGUGUUAGAUUACUCAGCUGUUCUUGUGAUCUGAGGCAGGUGUUAGAUUACUCAGCUGUUCUAGUGGUCUGAGGCAGGUGGUAGAUUACUCAGCUGUUCUAGUGGUCUGAGGCAGGUGGUAGAUUACUCAGCUGUUCUAGUGGUCUGAGACAGGUGUUAGAUUACUCAGCUGUUCUAGUGGUCUGAGGCAGGUGUUAGAUUACUCAGCUGUUCUAGUGGUCUGAGGCAGGUGUUAGAUUACUCAGCUGUUCUAGUGGUCUGAGGCAGGUGUUAGAUUACUCAGCUGUUCUAGUGGUCUGAGGCAGGUGUUAGAUUACUCAGCUGUUCUAGUGGUCUGAGGCAGGUGUUAGAUUACUCAGCUGUUCUAGUGAUCUGAGGCAGGUGGUAGAUUACUCAGCUGUUCUAGUGGUCUGAGACAGGUGUUAGAUUACUCAGCUGUUCUUGUGAUCUGAGGCAGGUGUUAGAUUACUCAGCUGUUCUUGUGAUCUGAGGCAGGUGGUAGAUUACUCAGCUGUUCUAGUGGUCUGAGGCAGGUGGUAGAUUACUCAGCUUUUCUAGUGGUCUGAGGCAGGUGGUAUAUUACUCAGCUUUUCUAGUGGUCUGAGGCAGGUGGUAGAUUACUCAGCUGUUCUAGUGGUCUGAGGCAGGUGUUAGAUUACUCAGCUGUUCUAGUGGUCUGAGGCAGGUGUUAGAUUACUCAGCUGUUCUAGUGGUCUGAGGCAGGUGUUAGAUUACUCAGCUGUUCUAGUGGUCUGAGGCAGGUGUUAGAUUACUCAGCUGUUCUAGUGGUCUGAGACAGGUGUUAGAUUACUCAGCUGUUCUAGUGGUCUGAGGCAGGUGGUAUAUUACUCAGCUGUUCUAGUGGUCUGAGGCAGGUGGUAGAUUACUCAGCUGUUCUAGUGGUCUGAGGCAGGUGGUAGAUUACUCAGCUGUUCUAGUGGUCUGAGGCAGGUGUUAGAUUACUCAGCUGUUCUAGUGGUCUGAGGCAGGUGGUAGAUUACUCAGCUGUUCUAGUGGUCUGAGGCAGGUGUUAGAUUACUCAGCUGUUCUAGUGGUCUGAGGCAGGAGGUGUUAGAUUACAAGCAUUUUCAAUUGUAACCUUAAUAAUAUGACUUACUAAUGUCAUAUUACAGUUUUGAAUUAGUUUUUAAAUAUUGAAAUAUUGAUGUCACAAGUGUAUCAUUUGUAAAGUUCAGAUAUAUAUUAUUAACGUGUAAAACCUAGCAGUACACUUGGGGGCGCUGUGGGGACCCUUGGGGCGCUGUGGGGUCACUGUGGGGACAAUGUGGGGGCACUUGGGGACAAUGAACCUAAAGCCAACACAUGAACAAACUUAUUCCCAGAUAUAAAUCAAAUUGGUCACAUACACAUGGUUAGCAGAAGUUAUUGGUUACAUACACAUGGUUAGCAGAUGUCAUUGGUUACAUACACAUGGUUAGCAGAUGUUAUUGAUCACAUACACAUGGUUAGCAGAUGUCAUUGGUUACAUACACAGGGUUAGCAGAUGUUAUUGAUCACAUACACAGGGUUAGCAGAUGUUAUUGGUCACAUACACAGGGUUAGCAGAUGUCAUUGGUCACAUACACAGGGUUAGCAGAUGUUAUUGGUCACAUACACAGGGUUAGCAGAUGUUAUUGGUCACAUACACAGGGUUAGCAGAUGUUAUUGGUCACAUACACAGGGUUAGCAGAUGUUAUUGGUCAGAUACACAGGGUUAGCAGAUGUUAUUGGUCACAUACACAGGGUUAGCAGAUGUUAUUGGUCACAUACACAGGGUUAGCAGAUGUUAUUGGUCACAUACACAUGGUUAGCAGAUGUUAUUUGUCAGAUACACAGGGUUAGCAGAUGUUAUUGGUCACAUACACAUGGUUAGCAGAUGUUAUUGGUCACAUACACAUGGUUAGCAGAUGUUAUUGGUCACAUACACAUGGUUAGCAGAUGUUAUUGGUCACAUACACAGGGUUAGCAGAUGUUAUUGGUCACAUACACAGGGUUAGCAGAUGUCAUUGGUCACAUACACAGGGUUAGCAGAUGUUAUUGGUCCCAUACACAUGGUUAGCAGAUGUUAUUGGUUACAUACACAUGGUUAGCAGAUGUCAUUGGUUACAUACACAUGGUUAGCAGAUGUUAUUGGUUACAUGGUUAGCAGAUGUUAUUGAUCACAUACACAUGGUUAGCAGAUGUUAUUGAUCACAUACACAUGGUUAGCAGAUGUUAUUGGUCAGAUACACAUGGUUAGCAGAUGUCAUUGGUCACAUACACAUGGUUAGCAGAUGUCAUUGGUCACAUACACAGGGUUAGCAGAUGUUAUUGGUCACAUACACAUGGUUAGCAGAUGUUAUUGGUUACAUACACAUGGUUAGCAGAUGUCAUUGGUUACAUACACAUGGUUAGCAGAUGUCAUUGGUUACAUACACAUGGUUAGCAGAUGUCAUUGGUUACAUAAACAUGGUUAGCAGAUGUUAUUGGUCACAUACACAUGGUUAGCAGAUGUUAUUGGUCAGAUAC